AAAGCUGACCGGUCUGCCGCUGUCCCCUACGGGGCUGAGGAAAGUCCGGGCGACACAGAGCAUUCCACUUCCUAACGGGAAGCAGUCGGCAACGGCUGAUAAGCGCAGAAGAAAACAACCGCCGCAAGGUAAGGGUGAGAAGGUGGGGUAAGAGCCCACCAGGCCUGUGGUGACACAGGUGCUGUGCGCCUUGGAAGUUGCAAGUUCAUGUAUACCGGCGUCAGAGGGCUGCUCGCCUGAGCCGGAGGGUAGAACGCGCGUGACCAUAAGGUUACGGAGCCAUGCCGGUGACGGCAGGUCAAGAUUAAUGGCAGACAGGGAAAGUACGUGUACCGACCCUACAGAACCCGGCUUACAGGUCAGCUUUUGUU
rnacentral:RNase_P_RNA from 1 species